rfam:TPA: Bos taurus chromosome 17, whole genome shotgun sequence.
UUCCUGAUGGUCCAGUGGCUAAAACUCCAAGCUCCCAAUUCAGGGUCCCAGGUUCGAUCCCUGGUCAGGGAA